rnacentral:rRNA from 1 species
CACGCCAGUGCGAUAAGGGGACCCCGAGUGCACAGGCAUAGAGCCUGUGCUUUUCUGAACCGUAGGGAGGUUCAGGAACAAGAGCUGGGCAAGACCGGUGCCAGCCGCCGCGGUAAUACCGGCAGCUCGAGUGAUGGCCGAUCUUAUUGGGCCUAAAGCGUCCGUAGCUGGCCUUGCAAGUCCGUCGGGAAAUCCACCCGCUCAACGGGUGGGCGUCCGGCGGAAACUGUGAGGCUUGGGACCGGGAGGCUUGAAGGGUACGUCCGGGGUAGGAGUGAAAUCCCGUAAUCCUGGACGGACCGCCGAUGGGGAAACCACUUCAAGAGAACGGAUCCGACAGUGAGGGACGAAAGCUAGGGCCUCGAACCGGAUUAGAUACCCGGGUAGUCCUAGCUGUAAACGAUGCCUGUUAGGUGUGACUCCCACUACGAGUGGGUGUUGUGCCGUAGGGAAGCCGCUAAACAGGCCGCCUGGGAAGUACGUCUGCAAGGAUGAAACUUAAAGGAAUUGGCGGGGGAGCACUACAACCGGAGGAGCCUGCGGUUUAAUUGGACUCAACGCCGGACAUCUCACCAGCAUCGACUGUGGUAAUGACGGUCAGGUUGAUGACCUUACCCGAGCCACAGAGAGGAGGUGCAUGGCCGCCGUCAGCUCGUACCGUGAGGCGUCCUGUUAAGUCAGGCAACGAGCGAGACCCGCAUCCUUACUUGCCAGCAGCACCGUGAGGUGGCUGGGGACAGUAGGGAGACCGCCGUGGCUAACACGGAGGAAGGAACGGGCAACGGUAGGUCAGUAUGCCCCGAAUAUGCUGGGCAACACGCGGGCUACAAUGGCCGAGACAAUGGGUUCCAACGCCGAGAGGCGACGGUAAUCUCAGAAACUCGGUCGUAGUUCGGAUUGUGGACUGAAACUCGUCCACAUGAAGCUGGAUUCGGUAGUAAUCGC